UAUAGUUAGUAACGUAUUACAUAUACAAAGUUAGAUCAUAUCCAAUGGUCAUAAUUCAUAAACGACCAAAUGACUAAUCACAUAUAUGUAUCAUAACUCAUGACCGCAAUUAUAAAAUGAUUUACACAAUUCAGAAACAGCAAAGAGAGGGGACGAACAAUAACAUACCCUCGAGCAAAGUUAACUGCAGACGUAGGAGUAACUUGGGUGCUGAUAUCAGUUUCGGGUUCUAAACGAUUAUUCAAAUCUUUCUGUUGGAGACUUUUCUUGUUCUUUUUCUUGUGUGACUUCAUCUUUAGUCAGUCCGAUCCAAAACCCUAAU
rnacentral:lncRNA from 1 species